AUUGAACGCUUGCGGCAGGCCUAACACAUGCAAGUCGAGCGGAUGAAGGGAGCUUGCUCCUGGAUUCAGCGGCGGACGGGUGAGUAAUGCCUAGGAAUCUGCCUGGUAGUGGGGGAUAACGUCCGGAAACGGGCGCUAAUACCGCAUACGCCCUGAGGGAGAAAGUGGGGGAUCUUCGGACCUCACGCUAUCAGAUGAGCCUAGGUCGGAUUAGCUAGUUGGUGGGGUAAAGGCCUACCAAGGCGACGAUCCGUAACUGGUCUGAGAGGAUGAUCAGUCACACUGGAACUGAGACACGGUCCAGACUCCUACGGGAGGCAGCAGUGGGGAAUAUUGGACAAUGGGCGAAAGCCUGAUCCAGCCAUGCCGCGUGUGUGAAGAAGGUCUUCGGAUUGUAAAGCACUUUAAGUUGGGAGGAAGGGCAGUAAGUUAAUACCUUGCUGUUUUGACGUUACCAACAGAAUAAGCACCGGCUAACUUCGUG
rnacentral:rRNA from 1 species